AUGCAAAUUUACAUGUACACGCAAGUGAUUCAAUGUGUAUCGCAAGUUUUGAAUUGGUUUAGUCUCAAACGGCCUCCCAUACACUCAAACACACUCUCGCACACACACACUCACACACACUCUCGCACACACACACUCUCGCACACACACACUCACACUCACUCUCGCACACAUACACUCAAACUCACUCUCGCACACAUACACUCACACACACUCUCGUACACGUACACUCUCGCACACGUACACUCACACUCACUCUCGCACACAUACACUCACACACACUCGCACACAUACACUCACACACACUCUCGCACUCAUACACUCACACUCACUCUCGCACACAUACACACACUCACUCUCGCACACAUACACUCACACUCACUCUCGCACACAUACACACACUCACUCUCGCACACAUACACUCACACUCACUCUCGGACACAUACACUCACACACACUCUCGCACACAUACACUCACACUCACUCUCGCACACAUACACUCACACUCACUCUCGCACACAUACACUCACACUCACUCUCGCACACAUACACUCACACUCACUCUCGGACACAUACACUCACACACACUCUCGCACACAUACACUCACGCACACUCUCGCACACAUACACUCACGCUCACUCUCGCACACAUACACUCACGCACACUCUCGCACACACACUCACGCACACUCUCGCACACAUACACUCACGCUCACUCUCGCACACAUACACUCACGCACACUCUCGCACACAUACACUCACGCACACUCUCGCACACAUACACUCACGCACACAUACACUCACGCACACUCUCGCACACAUACACGCACACUCUCGCACACAUACACUCACACUCACUCUCGCACACAUACACUCACACUCACUCUCGCACACAUACACUCACACUCACUCUCGCACACAUACACUCACACUCACUCUCGCACACAUACACUCACACUCACUCUCGCACACAUACACUCACACUCACUCUCGGACACAUACACUCACACACACUCUCGCACACAUACACUCACUCUCGCACACAUACACUCACGCACACAUACACUCACGCACACUCUCGCACACAUACACUCACGCUCACUCUCGCACACAUACACUCACGCUCACUCUCGCACACAUACACUCACGCACACUCUCGCACACAUACACUCACACACACUCUCACACACACUCUCGCACACGCUCUCGCACACACACACUCACGCUCUCGCACACACACACUCACGCUCACUCUCGCACACAUACACUCACGCUCACUCUCGCACACAUACACUCACGCACACUCUCGCACACAUACACUCACGCACACUCUCGCACAAAUACACUCACGCACACUCUCGCACACAUACACUCACUCUCGGACACAUACACUCACACUCACUCUCGGACACAUACACUCACGCACACUCUCGCACACAUACACUCACGCUCACUCUCGGACACAUACACUCACGCACACUCUCGCACACAUACACUCACACACACUCUCGCACACAUACACUAACACUCACUCUCGCACACAUACACUCACGCACACUCUCGCACACACACUCACGCACACUCUCGCACACAUACACUCACGCUCACUCUCGCACACACACACUCACGCUCACUCUCGCACACACACACUCACGCUCACUCUCGCACACAUACACUCACGCUCACUCUCGCACACAUACACUCACGCACACUCUCGCACACAUACACUCACGCACACUCUCGCACACAUACACUCACGUACAUUCUCGCACACAUACACUCACGCACACUCUCGCACACAUACACUCACGCACACUCUCGCACACAUACACUCACGCUCACUCUCGGACACAUACACUAACGCUCACUCUCGCACACAUACACUCACGCUCACUCUCGCACACAUAA
ensembl:lncRNA